CGAACUCCUGACCUUAAGUGAUCCGCCCGCCUCAGCCUCCCAAAGUGCUGCAAUUACAGGCAUGAGCCACUAUGCCCAGCCACAUUCUUAACCUUAAAGGGCUCUGAAUAUGGAGAUAGAACACUGGAGUCGAAGUCCCAGCCCCCUCUGUCGCUCUCUCUGAAGCUCAGUGACUACUCCAGUAUUAAAUGAUGCAUGUAUAAAGU
rnacentral:lncRNA from 1 species